GCAACCAUUAUCAUAUUAAAACACUAGUUCUCAUACGAUCCCCAAAGUUAAGCAAUGUUAAGCCUGGUCAGUACCUAAAUGGGUGACUGCUUGGGAAUAACAGGUGCUGUAAG